UUAAAUUGAAGAGUUUGAUCAUGGCUCAGAUUGAAUGCUGGCGGCAGGCCUAACACAUGCAAGUCGAACGGUAGCACAGAGAGCUUGCUCUCGG
rnacentral:rRNA from 2 species